CUAGACUCAUAGUGGGAAAAGACAAGAGAGGCUUUGGCUGGCUUUGGAUCCAGAAAACAGCUGCUGAUUAGAGUCUGCGUCUUCGGGCUGAAUUUAUUACAUAUUUUUCAGCAGCAGGGAUUCUAGGAGGAAGCUUCCGUUUGGGUUUCUUGCUCGUGGUUUAUUUUUAUUCAGAGGAAUAACAGAGGAAGGAUUUGUUCCGGCUGGAGCAUGCUCACAACCUGCAAGACCUCCCAUUAUUAAACUGCCUACUUUGGGCUUUAAUAUACAUGUGGUGCUAAUGAAAGAAUGCAAAUAGCACCGGCUGAGCCGAACAUUUCAUAAAGAAGGGAACAGCCACCAACCCCAAAGGCUCCGGGAUCUGCCCGCCGGCCCCCACCAAAGGUGGUUUAUUCUGUUCCACUUGGAGAUGGGGGAGCUCAGCUGCACGGAGGCUGCUGAACACAAAGAAUCCAGGAGAUGAAGCCUUAGCUUAGUCCAUCACUUUUCUCAUCUGAGUGUGUUCCUGGAGACAUUAAAAGUCAGCAAUUUUUAACCUGGGUGUUGGGUUGUUGCUUUGGGAUCCUGCUUGGAGCUCAGUGCUGGGAAGGAAAGGGAUUGGUUUUUGGUCAGUGAGUGAGCUCUGGGUGUGGAUCCCGGCAGAAAACUUCUCCUGGACCUUUCCUCAUCUUUAUUUCCCUCAAGUGAACGUCGUCUGGGCUCCUGGGGAGGAAACAGCCCCUGCAGCUCCACUGGGUGGGUUUGUUUUGGAGGAUGGCUCUGAGAAGUGUUGAAGGCUCCCACAGGAGCCUUCAAACCACAUCCACUGCCGGCCUUGGCUGCAUCCAAACUGACAAACAAAACAUGAGACAGAGAGAAGCUUUCACACCUUGUCUCCAGCCAGCCCCAACUGAGCAGGGAGCUCCACUCUUGGCUGUUCUGCACCCAAAACCACCACAGGACAGGGUUAAAGGAACCACUUUCCACCACUUCACUCCCCGUAGAACUUCAGGGAAAAAAACCCUGAAUCUCUCCAUGCAGUUUCCACACUUGGAAAAUUGAAUUAAUUAUGUUUGUGUGCAUUCAUGAAGCGUUUUG